UGUAUAGCUAUUUCCCCCGUUUGCCUGUGUUAUCUUUUAUAUUUGAAGGACAUUCCCAAAUUGCAUUUGGAGGACACAUUAUUUUAGUCAAAUUAUGUCUAAAAUGUCCCCACGCCUUCAAACUCAGGCAUGUUUCUUCUUUGUGAAAUAUUGUUUUAAGAGAAAAAGACGGGAGUGGGGAGACAGAAAAUGAACAUUUUUGACUGAUAGGAUUCCCGGGUAUAAAUACAUUAGUCAGUUCUGCAGUGACUGGAUGAGUUAUUUUAGACCCACAAGGCAUCUCAUCUGAAAAUCAUCUACACAUUUUUUCCUUUUGUUUUUCCAGUUCUUCCUCUACAAAACAAAACUGUACAAGCAAUUGUAACCCAUGCACUUUAUGCAUCAGCAUUUGACUUUGUUCUUCCAGAGGGAGGGGACAAGAAUCUUCUUAGUUGGAUACUCAAUGUCUGAUGAGAACAGGGUAGGGUGUGGCAGUUACCGGAUGUGCUCUUAAGUUUUCAUUGUGGGCACCCCACCUGGCAGCUCAUCCCCUAGCCAACCUCCGAGAGAAGAGUGCAAUCAGAGGGCAAUCAGAGUGCAAGGGGAGGUAAGGUUAUAAAUACAGGAGUUAAAGACAACCCCGUGGACUCAGUGGCUGAUUGACACAGGACCAAGAAAUGAGUCUGCUGCGGUCCCAAUGCCUGUGGAUAUAGGGACAGGCAUGCUUGAGAACCAGACUGUGACACGGGCACCCACUGGGGUGUCUGAAGAAGUUAGACCUGCUUAGGUUGCCAUCAGAGGAUGGGGAUGGUGAGCCGUAAGCAACUUCAUUCACCCCUGAAGGAACAAACCACCAGGCCAUCCAAGUCAGGGCCUGGAAGGGGAAACUGGGCUGGCCAGCAGGACACCAGAGGAUGCCUGGGCAGGAA